rnacentral:misc_RNA from 1 species
AAGGUGGGGGUGAUUGGGGGUGAUGAAAUAUUAUCACUCGUUGAUCACCCUUAAAAAAGGUGGAAUCAGUGGUAACCCUGCUGGUUUCAUUAGGCCAGUGUAUUGUAUUUUUUGGUUGGUGGGAGGUCAGUUGUGGUGUGGUAGAGAUACCGCAAAGGAACCCGCCAGUAUUUACAUCCAUUAUAACAAUAACCGAUAUCGAUAACAACACUUUA